rnacentral:rRNA from 1 species
CCCUUAGAUGCUCUGGGCCGCACGCGCGCUACACUGGUCGAUGCAACGAGUUUCUUUCCUUGGCCGACAGGCCUGGGCAAUCUUUGAACAUCGAUCGUGAUCGGGAUAGAUUCUUGUAAUUUUUGAUCUUAAACAAGGAAUUCCUAGUAAACGCAAGUCAUCAGCUUGCAUUGAUUACGUCCCUGCCCUUUGUACACACCGCCCGUCGCACCUACCGAUUGAAUGGUCCGGUGAAAUCUCCGGACUGGCGUGAGUCGGAGCAAUCUGACAAACGCCGGAAAGUUGAUUAAACCUUACCAUUUAGAGGAAGGUGAAGUCGUAACA